UACGUAUGGAGCAAGCGUUAUCCGGAUUUAUUGGGUGUAAAGAGUUCGUAGGCGGAUCAGCAAGUUGGUUGUGAAAUCCCUAGGCUUAACUUAGGAACUGCAACCAAAACUACAGAUCUUGAGUACUGGAGGGGAAAGCGGAAUUCCUAGUGUAGCGGUGAAAUGCGUAGAUAUUAGGAAGAACACCGGUGGCGAAGGCGGCUUUCUGGACAGAAACUGACGCUGAGGAACGAAAGUGUGGGGAGCAAAC
rnacentral:rRNA from 1 species